AAAAACUCUCCCUUUUAUCUGCUAGGAAAACUGCUCCCUGCCGCCUGGUCGCAUAUCCCCUAAGGACUUCAGCCCUUAUGUGCCGACCCCUAUCACAAGUGGCUAUAACAGCGUCCAGCCCCAGUUGGGUAAAGCCUUCUGUCUUUACCUGGGCUCACCAGCUCUCGUCGGGAAUAGUUCCUGUUGUGUUGAGUCACACCCGGGCUCCUCUAAGGCAAAGCGAAGGACCCUGGGACUAUACUGGGCCCAUAUCUCGGUCUGGUCCCUGAAAGCAUGUGCAUGAAGGGACCUGAGGACUUCCUUUCAGGAAACCCCAGGAAAGGUUACCCUGGUUCUUUAUCAGGGGCAGCCCAUCUGGUGUCUAGGCAUAGAGGCCGUGGCCGAGAAUCCCACCUGCCCUCACUGAUAGCCUUAAGGCGGAGGCCUUGGAGUAACUGUCGGAGUUCUUGGCGCAUGAGGUCCCUCAAGAGGGGGGGUGGUGCCAGUAGGGAGGGAGAGUCAGAGUUGGAAACUUGAGAGGACUUGAUCUCUUGGAGCAGUGCCUUUAGCAUCGCCACCUGUAAGGAGAGCUGGGGUACCUUGCCACUGGGGCAGAGGCGAUGGGUUUAAUGUGUGUUGGUUGAGGGUUGUUAAGGGAUGGGAGGAGCUAAAUAGAAGAGAGCAAGGGCAGGCAGUGAGAACAAGAUGUUAAGGGGUCGCCAAAGAGGACUAGGGACCUGGUGGCGGUAGGAAACCACGUGAGUUGCAGGGCAGGCCUGGAAUGUGACCCACCCCCACCCACCGGACUCCCACCUCCUCUCGCAACUCCAGGCUCAGGUCCACUGCUGCCUCUCCCAGAAUCUUCUUCACUUCAGGCCGCUCGGGGAGUGGCACAUGCUCCUCCACCAGCUCCCACAGUGCUGGGGAGUCCCCGGGCAUGGCCUGCGUGGGUCGCAGGCCCCUGAUCAGACCUACAGGCUGGACCGCCCACAGGAAUUGCGCUGCCUUUUGGUGGCUGACUAUGAGCAGACCCUUCAGGGUGCGGGAUCCUGGCCUCUUCUCGGGGAAGCCUGGCUGUGGGAAUCGGGCCUUUAGCCCCUCCCCUCCUAAGAGUCGGUCACCUGGGAAACCAUCGCCCUGGGAUCAGCCCUGCCCUGCCCGCAGUCGUUGAACACCCUGUGCUUUCUGCCUCUGAGUGAGAAGAGCUGAGAAAUCUGGCCCCAUUGGGACACAGCCGUGAACAGGACACAGCCAUGAACAGGACAUGCAAAGCCCUUCCUCUCAUGGCGAGUCUGCUUCACUGAGGGAGUCUAGGCAAAAGAAACAUCAGAGUGCUGCAUUAUGAGGUGACUGCCUUGGGAGAAGGAUGUGACACUAAGCUGAAGGCAGAGGGAAGAGCAUUUCACACACAGGUCAGAGCACAUGAUAAAGGGAAAACAGACUGUUGGUUAGAACAUGUAUGGGCAGGACUCUGUACGUCAUAAUGAGUAGUUCAUAUUCUGUGAGCAAGGAGACACAGAGGGAUUCUUAACCCAAUUUCAGCAGAAGGGUGGGAUGGCAAGGGGGAGGCAGGAAACCCUUGCAGUCACUAGGGCAAGAUCACAGAGACCAGACUAAGGUAAAGGCGGAGAAGGGGGCAAGCAGACGCUUUGUGGGUGGACCUAACAUGCCUUGUUGAUAAUCUACCUCAACAUAUACGGGUAGGGAAAGAAUCCUAAUUUUUGUUUUGUUUUGUUUUUGUUUUUCAAGGCAGGGUUUCUCUGUGUGGCCUUGGAUGUC